UGGCGGACGGGUGAGUAAUGUCUGGGAAACUGCCCGAUGGAGGGGGAUAACUACUGGAAACGGUAGCUAAUACCGCAUAAUGUCUACGGACCAAAGCGGGGGACCUCCGGGCCUCGCGCCAUCAGAUGAACCCAUAUGGGAUUAGCUUGUAGGUAAGGUAACGGCUUACUUAGGCGACGAUCCCUAGCUGGUCUGAGAGGAUGACCAGCCACACUGGAACUGAGACACGGUCCAG
rnacentral:rRNA from 1 species